ACAACAUUUGGAUCGUCGGUCUACCGAGCAAUAUCACCCGCUCGGUGGAAGAUCUUCCUUUUGUCGU
rfam:Bombyx mori DNA, contig: Bm_scaf20_contig14404, strain: p50T/Dazao, build 2, whole genome shotgun sequence.